ensembl:lncRNA
AAAAGAUUUCAUGAAAUUAAAAUUAUUAUGAAAAUGGCAUAGCCUACUUACUUUUGAAACAGGAAAUUGGAAUGUAUCAAAUGGAAGAUGAAUUGAAGACAAUUUGCUAGUCAGCAGCAUGUGGUCUUAGAGGACAGGAAAUGAUCCCUCCAGAGAGAAUCUGAUUGGACAAAAAAAUCAUCUAUCUAGUGCAAGAUGAGUUCUGGUUAUUUUUCUCUGUUUUCCUCAGAAGAGAAAGACUUUAUUUUUUAAUGUGUAUAUCUGCUCAAAGUGAAUUUUUUCAACAUUUGCGAGAGCAGUUGGACAGAGAUUACCUCAAAGCAAACGCACAUGGUCUAAAUGAAACAAAACUCUAAAUCUGAAUAAGGUGUUUGCAUUUUUUAUGAUUUUUUUUUUUUGACAUACUGUUGCACUUUAUCUAUGCACUAUAUCAAUUCAAUAGACAGUUUUGUGUCUAUGAGUCCUUACAGAAGUUUAAACUGGCAUGACCUUCUGUUCUAAUAAAUCUUUUGUCUUUACAACAUAAUAACAUGUAACAUUUUCAGUGGGAGAUUAUCUAACAAUCGUGAACACUUACUCUCCGAGUGUCAUGCUGUGAUCUGUGACCUCUCUAAUGGAUUUUGUACUUUGGACACCAAGAAUCCUUCACAUAUUUACAGACGACUGAGAGGAACGCAGCAGUGCGUGCGGACUCUAAAUUCAUCAUGUUUCAUCUUCAGAAUAUCGUUGCCUUCAUGAUAAUCUCUGCCUCUAUUUGUCAGGCUCAAGCUGGUGAGUGAAAUUAGACACAUUUCAUGUUGUAGUAUAUUCUUUUCAAUGUGUUUUUGUGUUUUUCUUGAUUACAUUUGAACUCCUUGAACUGAUUUAAUAUAUAAAAGUUGUGUAGUAAAGCCUUCAUAGGGUGUAAAACAUUUAUAGACAAAAAACCCUUUCUGUGAUACACUGUUACUCAGGUGGUCAACGGGCUUCAUCAGAUACAGCUAAAGUCACAUUACAGCCGUGGCUGGUGGGACUGACAGCCGUUGUUGUUUUUCUCUUUAUUGUCUUCGUCCUCCUCAUCAUGAAAAGACUCUUUUUCAAGAAAGACAGAGAUGAGCUAGAAGAAAGAUAUUCAUUUUAUGAAAACAAAGCAGCUGAUCUGGAGGCAAAUGAGGAGACCAAGCAGACCACUUUCUAAUGAGAAGAACAGAUGAUCACAGUCCUGCAGCACACAAAUCUUUCUCUCUCUGGAAAUUAUGCCACAACUUUGUGCAGUCAUUCUUAUCUAAUUUUAUACUAUCUUAUGUAAUAUAUCUUUUUAACUUAUUAAUUUUGGUCAAAGUUUUGUUUUUGUCUUCAUAAGUGUUGUUCCUCACAUCAUCACCUAGUCACAGCUUUAAACUAAAGUUAAAAUAAAAAAGGGUUAAAAUAAAGUGGUGCUCUCUCUCUCUCUCUCUCUCUCUC